rnacentral:rRNA from 1 species
UACGUAGGGACCAAGCGUUGUUCGGAUUCACUGGGCGUAAAGGGUGCGUAGGUGGCGAGGUAAGUCGGAUGUGAAAGCUCGGAGCUCAACUCCGAAAUGGCAUUGGAAACUACCUUGCUCGAGGGUUGGAGGGGGACUGGAAUUCCCGGGUGUAGCGGUGAAAUGCGCAGAUAUCGGGAGGAACACCCGUAGCGAAGGCGGCACUCUGGGCCGGAACUGACGCUGAGGAGCGAAAGCGUGGGGAGCAAACAGG